rnacentral:lncRNA from 1 species
AGUUUUCCGUAGAUGAUUAAUGAGUAGCAUUCCUGAUCUACUACCAAGUAUAUCAAGAAAGAAUCAACAUGACCGAUUACCAUUGGUUGCAUUAGUUAUCUUUCAACAAAGUGACUGAUUUAACUUGGCAUGAUGAGACAGAGAAAAACACAUUUAUCGACACGAGUCGUCAUUUCUUUUGUGAACCGUUUCCAAUUUUUCCACAAGAAAAAGAUUUUUGCUGCUAUAAAUUGACCAAGAAAUUUGAGUGAAUAGAAUUCUUUAAACACCUAGUUCUUAUAUAGCAGAACACAGCGUUAACUUAGAGAAACAACGUC